rnacentral:rRNA from 1 species
UACGGAGGAUGCGAGCGUUAUCCGGAUUUAUUGGGUUUAAAGGGUGCGUAGGCGGACUGUCAAGUCAGCGGUAAAAUUGAGAGGCUCAACCUCUUCCCGCCGUUGAAACUGGUGGUCUUGAGUGGAUGAGAAGUACGCGGAAUGCGUGGUGUAGCGGUGAAAUGCAUAGAUAUCACGCAGAACUCCGAUUGCGAAGGCAGCCUUCCGGCGCCCUACUGACGCUGAGGCACGAAAGUGCGGGGAUCGAACAGG